rnacentral:rRNA from 1 species
UACGUAGGGUGCAAGCGUUGUCCGGAAUUAUUGGGCGUAAAGAGCUCGUAGGCGGUCUGUCGCGUCGGAUGUGAAAAUCCAGGGCUCAACCCUGGACCUGCAUUCGAUACGGGCAGACUAGAGUUCGGUAGGGGAGACUGGAAUUCCUGGUGUAGCGGUGAAAUGCGCAGAUAUCAGGAGGAACACCGGUGGCGAAGGCGAGGUGCUGGACCCUUUCUGACGCUGAGGCGCGAAAGCCAGGGGAGCAAACGGG